rnacentral:rRNA from 1 species
UAGUCUACGCCGUAAACGAUGUGUGCUCGGUGUGUGGCCCUAGAUGGUUGCGCGCCCAAGCUAACGCGAUAAGCACACCGCCUGGGGAGUACGGCCGCAAGGCUAAAACUCAAAGGAAUUGACGGGGGCCCGCACAAGCAGCGGAGCGUGUGGUUUAAUUCGAUGCAACGCGAAGAACCUUACCUGGACUUAACAUGGAAGUGUUAGGGAGCUGAAAAGUAACCGACCUUCAGGAGCUUCCAUAGGUGCUGCAUGGUUGUCGUCAGCUCGUGUCGUGAGAUGUUGGGUUAAGUCCCGCAACGAGCGCAACCCUUGUCGUAUGUUUUAUGUGUCAUGCGAGACUGCCGGUUUCACGCCGGAGGAAGGUGAGGACGACGUCAAAUCAGCAUGGCCUUUAUGUCCAGGGCGACACACACGCUACAAUGGCGCGUACAACAGGUAGCCACCAAGCAAUUGGGAGCUAAUCCAGAAAGCGCGUCUCAGUUCGGA